CCCGCAACGAGCGCAACCCUUGCCUUUAGUUUGUCCAGCAGUUCGGGCUGGGCGACUCUAAAGGGACGUGCCGGUGUUAAACCGGAGGAAGGUGGGGAGUGACGUCAAGUCCUCAUGGCCUUUAUGACCAGGGCUACACACGUACUACAAUGGCCGAUACAAAGGGCAGCGACACUGCGAGGUGAAGCCAAUCCCGUAAAAUCGGUCUCAGUCCGGAUUGGAGUCUGCAACUCGACUCCAUGAAGUUGGAAUCGCUAGUAAUCGUGGAUCAGCAUGCCACGGUGAAUACGUUCCCGGGCCUU
rnacentral:rRNA from 1 species